ACAUGCAUCAUUUACUUUCAUUUUUAAACCAAAUUGCUGAAUUACCUUCCAAGUACAACUGUGGUCUCUAUUGUCUCUCAGUGUCUGCUUGCAUCUUUAAGUACACCAUAUUGAGGGGCUAAAGCAUGACCUUCCUGCCAUAGCUUUGUCUGCUGGGCGUAGAGUGGAGAAUGGCAGCCUAAACUUAGCGCGAUAUCUCCUUUGCACCUCCAGAAUUGGAAUACUUUGUUUACUAUGCUGGGACGACUUAAAAGAAACAAGCAGGACAUGUGGAGUGUUGCUUCCUUUCCUCAAUUACCAGCAGAUCACAGGUGUUUAUCUGGUUCCCGGAGGUGAUUCAGAAACCUUGGAAGAUUUGCGUUUUCCUUCUAAGCAAGAUCAACAAUGUCCGCUUUUGGAGGAAACUCCCUUCUUCAGAUUGUGGAUUAUAUGUGACCUUAAUCUACAGCCUCUCCUUUUGUUCAGAUGUCACUGGG
rnacentral:lncRNA from 1 species